rnacentral:rRNA from 1 species
AACGAACGCUGGCGGCAUGCCUAACACAUGCAAGUCGAACGAGACCUUCGGGUCUAGUGGCGCACGGGUGCGUAACGCGUGGGAACCUGCCCUUAGGUUCGGAAUAACUCCCCGAAAGGGGUGCUAAUACCGGAUAAUGUCUUCGGACCAAAGAUUUAUCGCCCUUGGAUGGGCCCGCGUUGGAUUAGCUAGUUGGUAGGGUAAAAGCAUACCAAGGCGACGAUCCAUAGCUGGUCUGAGAGGAUGAUCAGCCACACUGGGACUGAGACACGGCCCAGACUCCUACGGGAGGCAGCAGUGGGGAAUAUUGGACAAUGGGCGAAAGCCUGAUCCAGCAAUGGCGCGUGAGUGAUGAAGGCCUGAGGGUUGUAAAGCUCUUUUACCCGAGAAGAUAAUGACGGUACCGGGAGAAUAAGCACCGGCUAACUCCGUG